AUUGAACGCUGGCGGCAUGCUUUACACAUGCCAGUCGAACGGUAACAGGCCUUCGGGUGCUGACGAGUGGCGAACGGGUGAGUAAUGCAUCGGAACGUGCCCAGAGGUGGGGGAUAACGCAGCGAAAGCUGUGCUAAUACCGCAUGUGAUCUGAGGAUGAAAGCGGGGGACCAGGCAGCAAUGUUUGGCCUCGCGCCUUUGGAGCGGCCGAUGUCAGAUUAGGUAGUUGGUGGGGUAAAGGCCUACCAAGCCGACGAUCUGUAGCUGGUCUGAGAGGACGACCAGCCACACUGGGACUGAGCCACGGCCCAGACUCCUACGGGAGGCAGCAGUGGGGAAUUUUGGACAAUGGGCGCAAGCCUGAUCCAGCAAUGCCGCGUGCGGGAAGAAGGCCUUCGGGUUGUAAACCGCUUUUGUACGGAACGAAAAGGCUCUGGCUAAUACCUGGGGCUGAUGACGGUACCGUAAGAAUAAGCACCGGCUAACUACGUG
rnacentral:rRNA from 1 species